GACGAACGCUGGCGGCGUGCCUAAUACAUGCAAGUCGAACGCUUCUUUCCUCCCGAGUGCUUGCACUCAUUUGGAAAGAGGAGUGGCGGACGGGUGAGGAACACGUGGGUAACCUACCCAUCAGAGGGGGAUAACACUUGGAAACAGGUGCUAAUACCGCAUAACAGUUUAUGCCGCAUGGCAUAAGAGUGAAAGGCGCUUUCGGGGGUCGCUGACGGAUGGACCGGCGGUGCAUUAGCUAGUUGGUGAGGUAACGGCUCACCAAGGCCACGAUGCAUAGCCGACCUGAGAGGGUGAUCGGCCACACUGGAACUGAGACACGGCCCAGACUCCUACGGGAGGCAGCAGUAGGGAAUCUUCGGCAAUGGACGAAAGUCUGACCGAGCAACGCCGCGUGAGUGAAGAAGGUUUUCGGAUCGUAAAACUCUGUUGUUAGGGAAGAACAAGGACGUUAGUAACUGAACGUCCCCUGACGGUAUCUAACCAGAAAGCCACGGCUAACUACGUG
rnacentral:rRNA from 1 species